GAUGAACGCUGGCGGCGUGCCUAAUACAUGCAAGUCGAGCGAACGGACGAGAAGCUUGCUUUUCUGAUGUUAGCGGCGGACGGGUGAGUAACACGAGGAUAACCUACCUAUAAGACUGGGAUAACUUCGGGAAACCGGAGCUAAUACCGGAUAAUAUUUUGAACCGCAUGGUUCAAAAGUGAAAGACGGUCUUGCUGUCACUUAUAGAUGGAUCCGCGCUGCAUUAGCUAGUUGGUAAGGUAACGGCUUACCAAGGCAACGAUGCAUAGCCGACCUGAGAGGGUGAUCGGCCACACUGGAACUGAGACACGGUCCAGACUCCUACGGGAGGCAGCAGUAGGGAAUCUUCCGCAAUGGGCGAAAGCCUGACGGAGCAACGCCGCGUGAGUGAUGAAGGUCUUCGGAUCGUAAAACUCUGUUAUUAGGGAAGAACAUAUGUGUAAGUAACUGUGCACAUCUUGACGGUACCUAAUCAGAAAGCCACGGCUAACUACGUG
rnacentral:rRNA from 1 species